rnacentral:rRNA from 1 species
GAUGAACGCUAGCUACAGGCUUAACACAUGCAAGUCGAGGGGCAGCAUGGUCUUAGCUUGCUAAGGCCGAUGGCGACCGGCGCACGGGUGAGUAACACGUAUCCAACCUGCCGUCUACUCUUGGACAGCCUUCUGAAAGGAAGAUUAAUACAAGAUGGCAUCAUGAGUCCGCAUGUUCACAUGAUUAAAGGUAUUCCGGUAGACGAUGGGGAUGCGUUCCAUUAGAUAGUAGGCGGGGUAACGGCCCACCUAGUCUUCGAUGGAUAGGGGUUCUGAGAGGAAGGUCCCCCACAUUGGAACUGAGACACGGUCCAAACUCCUACGGGAGGCAGCAGUGAGGAAUAUUGGUCAAUGGGCGAGAGCCUGAACCAGCCAAGUAGCGUGAAGGAUGACUGCCCUAUGGGUUGUAAACUUCUUUUAUAAAGGAAUAAAGUCGGGUAUGCAUACCCGUUUGCAUGUACUUUAUGAAUAAGGAUCGGCUAACUCCGUGCCAGCAGCCGCGGUAAUACGGAGGAUCCGAGCGUUAUCCGGAUUUAUUGGGUUUAAAGGGAGCGUAGAUGGAUGUUUAAGUCAGUUGUGAAAGUUUGCGGCUCAACCGUAAAAUUGCAGUUGAUACUGGAUAUCUUGAGUGCAGUUGAGGCAGGCGGAAUUCGUGGUGUAGCGGUGAAAUGCUUAGAUAUCACGAAGAACUCCGAUUGCGAAGGCAGCCUGCUAAGCUGCAACUGACAUUGAGGCUCGAAAGUGUGGGUAUCAAACAGGAUUAGAUACCCUGGUAGUCCACACGGUAAACGAUGAAUACUCGCUGUUUGCGAUAUACAGCAAGCGGCCAAGCGAAAGCGUUAAGUAUUCCACCUGGGGAGUACGCCGGCAACGGUGAAACUCAAAGGAAUUGACGGGGGCCCGCACAAGCGGAGGAACAUGUGGUUUAAUUCGAUGAUACGCGAGGAACCUUACCCGGGCUUAAAUUGCAGAUGAAUUACGGUGAAAGCCGUAAGCCGCAAGGCAUCUGUGAAGGUGCUGCAUGGUUGUCGUCAGCUCGUGCCGUGAGGUGUCGGCUUAAGUGCCAUAACGAGCGCAACCCUUGUUGUCAGUUACUAACAGGUUCCGCUGAGGACUCUGACAAGACUGCCAUCGUAAGAUGUGAGGAAGGUGGGGAUGACGUCAAAUCAGCACGGCCCUUACGUCCGGGGCUACACACGUGUUACAAUGGGGGGUACAGAGGGCCGCUACCACGCGAGUGGAUGCCAAUCCCCAAAACCUCUCUCAGUUCGGACUGGAGUCUGCAACCCGACUCCACGAAGCUGGAUUCGCUAGUAAUCGCGCAUCAGCCACGGCGCGGUGAAUACGUUCCCGGGCCU